CUGCUCGGAUCUGUCCAAUAUCACUUAAGGGUGCAAGCCACUCCCCUUCUCAAGAACGCAGCACACAACAGUUCACUCGAACAUUGCAGAUUCUUGGGUCCCUGGGCUUGUGAUGGCUGAGUAUGUGUUAAUGAAAAACGUGGGCCAUGGCAUCAUGCAGCAUGGAUAGUAUCAGAUGCAGAAUUCAGACGUGUAGCAAAAGUCUAGAGAGCUGAAACAGAAAGCCAAGAGUGAGUACUAGUGGAUGGUAGCAUAUGAAGGAGCAAGCAAUAGACUUUAAGAUCUUCGAUCGAUCAGAAGAACAGCAUGCAGACAGAGCAAAUCUCCUUUAGUGCACCAUCAGGAAUACACUACCUUUUAAACCAAGAUACAGUAAUUCAGGGGAAUAAUCUGUGGGCACAAGCAAAGCAACUUCAACACAAGAGUCCAAUUCUGAAGGCUGGUUAAUGAAUUUGCCUUCUAGAAGAACAUAAUGUUUGCUAACCUUUGAACUAAAAGCCUUAUUUUUUGCUGCCUUCCUACAUGAAGUGACAGGUUUCAGAGUAGCAGCCGUGUUAGUCUGUAUUCGCAAAAAGAAAAGGAGUACUUGUGGCACCUUAGAGACUAACAAAUUUAUUAGAGCAUAAGCUUUCGUGAGCUACAGCUCACUUCAUCGGAUGCAUCCACAUCAGGUUUAUUCCCCUUUCCAGCAGAAUUUCAUACCUUUAUAUACCAACCUGGCCUUCAAACCCUUUUCUGCAGGCUGCAGAAAUACAGUCACAUUAGUGUGGUGUUUGAAAUCCGUAAGUAGGAAGCCACUCAACAGCAAUGUUACACGAACAGCCAUGUACUGUUACUAUCAGAUACAAAAAUAACCAAAGCUUUAUGCCUCCCUUUUUCUUCAUCUUGAAAAGCAUAGGGGUG